rfam:Aspergillus glaucus CBS 516.65 unplaced genomic scaffold ASPGLscaffold_14, whole genome shotgun sequence.
GGCCGGCUGGCCCAAUGGUAAGGCGCUUGACUACGAAUCAAGAGAUUGCAGGUUCGACCCCUGCGUCGGUCA